GAUGAACGCUGGCGGCGUGCCUAAUACAUGCAAGUCGAGCGAACGGACGUGAAGCUUGCUUCUCUGAUGUUAGCGGCGGACGGGUGAGUAACACGUGGAUAACCUACCUAUAAGACUGGGAUAACUUCGGGAAACCGGAGCUAAUACCGGAUAAUAUUUUGAACCGCAUGGUUCAAAAGUGAAAGACGGUCUUGCUGUCACUUAUAGAUGGAUCCGCGCUGCAUUAGCUAGUUGGUAAGGUAACGGCUUACCAAGGCAACGAUGCAUAGCCGACCUGAGAGGGUGAUCGGCCACACUGGAACUGAGACACGGUCCAGACUCCUACGGGAGGCAGCAGUAGGGAAUCUUCCGCAAUGGGCGAAAGCCUGACGGAGCAACGCCGCGUGAGUGAUGAAGGUCUUCGGAUCGUAAAACUCUGUUAUUAGGGAAGAACAUAUGUGUAAGUAACUGUGCACAUCUUGACGGUACCUAAUCAGAAAGCCACGGCUAACUACGUG
rnacentral:rRNA from 1 species